AUACGGAGGAUGCGAGCGUUAUCCGGAUCUAUUGGGUUUAAAGGGUGCGUAGGCGGUUUUUUAAGUCAGCGGUGAAACGCAAGGGCUCAACCCUUGACCUGCCGUUGAAACUGGAGGACUUGAAUGCGGAUGCUGUGGGAGGAAUGUGUGGUGUAGCGGUGAAAUGCAUAGAUAUCACACAGAACACCGAUUGCGAAGGCAUCUCACAAAUCCGUGAUUGACGCUGAGGCACGAAAGUGUGGGGAUCAAACAGGAUUAGAUACCCUGGUAGUCCACACUGUAAACGAUGAUGACUCGCUGUCGGCGAUAUACAGUCGGUGGCCAAGCGAAAGCGAUAAGUCAUCCACCUGGGGAGUACGACCGCAAGGUUGAAACUCAAAGGAAUUGACGGGG
rnacentral:rRNA from 1 species